AAUGCUUAUUUGUUUGAAGCUAGCUAUUUUACAGUGAGAACGAGGUAAGUUAUUGGACAAGAAAUGACAAAUAAUCUAGUAUUCUCUGUAUUUCGGACCGCAUAAUUCUAAACAAUUUAUUUCAAUCAGUUAUGUAUAUUCGUUCAUCUUAUAGACAGGAAGUGAUAUUUAUUCGCUCUGGCCAACAGACGCUUGUAUGCUAACGUUAGCUUUUUGGUUCCCGCCGGUUGCAACUCCAGUGAACAUUGGACCCUUUUAGUUAGCUGCUCGCCGUUAUUAAUUAUGUAAAAAGACAAUCAAUAAUAUCAAUCGUGUAAGCACAUGGAAAUACUUUUUAGCGAUUUUUUUAAAGUAUUUAUUUCAUGAUUUAAAAGUGUCUGGCAAUGAGUGACGGACUGUGAAACUCAAUCUCCCAUGAUUCCGUUUUAUCAUUUCUACCGGAACUGACCUUUGUGUUCGUUCUUAUUAUACCUGUGGUUGUGUUGAAUACGCACCCAACUUACGUUUACACACCAUGCUGGCGUUGCAAACACCAUGCUCUAUUUUUUUAGAUUUUUUUGUACUGGCCCCCCGUGGGAAUCGAACCCACAACCCUGGCGUUGCACACACCAUGCUGGCGUUGCAAACAUCAUGCUCUACCAACUGAGCCACAGGGAAGACUUCAUAUUCAUCUUGAUGAGAAGGAAACACCAUAACAAAUCAAGUCAGGUGAACAGAUCCCUGGAUUAGAAGGAGUGAGCUGCAAAGCGACAGUCACCUGCUCCUACCACUAGCCUUGCCCCUGACCAAUGGAGAGAGGGACAGCAGAGGCAACAUAAUUCACAAAAUAUCUGGACAAAAAAGGUCUAAGAAGACCUCAAGACAUGUCACAGCGGAGGACAUGGACCAUACCGGAACAGGUGACCAUAUUGCAGCUAAUGGCGGGGGUGAAUACCGCCUUAAAUAGAGCUUGACCCUGGGGCAUCUGACCCUAAAACAGGGUUUCCCAACCCUGUCCACUGGCACCCCCAGAAGUUUCAAUUUUUGUUGUUUUAACCCUAAAUUGCCACACCUGAUUUAAUUAGUCAAAGGCUUGAUGAUUAGUUGACUAAUUGAACCAUGUGUGCCAGUUAAGGGUUAAAACAAAAAUGUGAAAAGUCUGGAGGGGCUGAGGAGAGGUUUGGGAAACCCCGCCCUAAAGGAACCCAAAGGGAGAUGCCAAGACGGCCCAGUACAUCACCGGGGCCAAGCUUCCUGCCAUCCAGGACCUCUAUACCAGGACUCCAGCCACCCUAGUUAUAGACUGUUCUUUCUGCUACCGCACGGCAAGCGGUACCGGAGCGCCAAGUCUAGGUCCAAGAGGCUUCUAAACAGCUUCUACCCCAAAGCCAUAAGACUCCUGAAUAUUUAACCCAGGGCUGCCCAACCCUCUUCCCGAAGGUUUUCAGACCAACCCUAAUUUAGCAUAUCUGAUUCAGCUAGUUAAGGUCUUGUUGAGCAGCUAAUAAGCAGUCCAACGCUGUAAAAUCAGGGUUGGACUGAAAACCCACAGGACCGUAGAUCUCCAGGAAGAGGGUUGGGUAGCCCUGAUCUAAUCAAAUGGCUACCCAGACUAUUUGCAUUGCCCCCCACCCUUUUACGCUGCUGUUACUCUGUUAUUAUCUAUGUAUAGUCACUUAAAUAACUCUACCUACAUGUACAUAUUACCUCAACUAACCGGU